GCUAGCAUAACUGUGUGUAUGAGAGAGAGAGAGAGAGAUAAGGUACAAAAGACAACUGUUUAAUUAAAAUGACAAGCUAGUAAAUCAAUGCAAUCAGAUGGGUAUAAGAAGUUAAUAUUGAAUGAUUCAAGAAGACGUUAAGAUAGCAUCGUUAAGUAAUUGCCACAAAAUUGCAUCAUCUUAGUGUGCAAUCUAGAUGAUAAAUAAAGAUUAAGCAAAAUAACAGGAAACACAUACCAAGAUAUGUUCAGAUAAAGAUUUAUGAACUCCCAAGGGAAAAGGAUAUGCAGUGAGUAGAUAUAUAUUGAUUAAUAACCAUGCGGCACACUAAUUUUAUAAUAGCAUACAAAAUAAUGAUGGUCAAUACACUGUAUUAGCUCAGAAUAAUGGCUUGAAAGUAACCACUAAGUGGAAGAAUGAAUAUAUUUCAUUCGUACUGUAAAGGUAAGUAUGGAAAACAAGUUGAAUGAGCUUAUCCACCAAAAAACAAGAAACUGAUCUUCUACAGUUCAGGCAGGCUGAUGGACUAGCCAAUCCGGCCCCAAAACAAAUCACAACAUGCUCAAAAGCUGAAUGUCCUCAAACUAACCAGACAUAGCUCCUCAAUCGAUGUCUAUUGAGCUGGAUGUUCCACCAUGACUGACUAAAGGUCAAUCCUAGGAUCAAACUGAAACCCUGUUUAGUGAUAGGACUGAUACCUUCAUAUACAGAACAACUAAUUUGUUAACCACAAGAUUCCCAAGACCACAUCCAGCACUGAGCCCAGUAGCUAAAGACCAUUCAAACCACUGGUUCGUGAAGUCAGACGAACCAGGAAGAUCUCUAUAGACUGGAGAUAGUGGGGUAUGAGGAUGCUCUACUUUCAAUCCCGUGUGUCAGAACGUGCUCCACCAAUAUGAAAUUAUGCUGGGCAAGAGGGGAUAACAACCUUCCACAUAACUCAUUCUACAUCUAUAAAUAGUGGUUGGCUAGCAAACUCCAAAACUCCACCAAAUAACUUUCUUAGCAUUAUCAUUGGAGUACAACAGGUUUGUCCUACAAAUGUGUCAAGGUUUUUUAUGAUGCAUUUCCCAGUAAUAAAUUUCCUACCUCUACCAAAGAAUCAUGUAUGUGGGUACUUUACGUAUCCAAAUCAGUAUUUUGACAAAGUACCAGGAAAUAAAGGUUCGACAAGAUGGUAUAACCAGUUAUUUAUCAACAAAACCAGAAAACUUACUGUCCCCAUCAACCCAAUGGACAAGUUCUACCAAUUGCAAUAAGUUAAGGAUGUAAGGAAUAGAAGACGCCGAGCAAACAAUUCACCAAGCAAUAAACCAGGGAGCUAAAUUUUGUUAAAUAUAACUAAGGAGAUUCAUUCCAUUUCACAUCAUUUCAAUUCCAACAAUACAAUACUUGUGUGCAAAACCAAAUGGACAUUUUAGAUGUGUCCUACUUAUAUAUCAAGGAUACCAGAUGUUUGCGAAAGCUUAAAUUUGAUUUUAGGAGAUCUCGAUUUGUCACUGCUUUCGAAACAUCGAAAAGCUCAUGGUAAAAAAACCAAAAAAAAAAAAAAAAAA